UCUAAGUAUAAGCAAUUAUACAGCGAAACUGCGAAUGGCUCAUUAUAUAAGUUAUCGUUUAUUUGAUAAUACCUUACUACUUGGAUAACCGUGGUAAUUCUAGAGCUAAUACAUGCUGAAAAUCCCGACUUCGGAAGGGAUGUAUUUAUUAGAUUAAAAACCAAUGCCCCCCGGGGCUCCUUGGUGAAUCAUGAUAACUAGUCGAAUCGACAGGCCUUGUGCCGGCGAUGGCUCAUUCAAAUUUCUUCCCUAUCAACUUUCGAUGUUUGGGUAUUGGCCAAACAUGGUGGCAACGGGUAACGGAGGGUUAGGGCUCGACCCCGGAGAAGGAGCCUGAGAAACGGCUACUACAUCCAAGGAAGGCAGCAGGCGCGCAAAUUACCCAAUCCCGACACGGGGAGGUAGUGACAAUAAAUACUGAUACAGGGCUCUUUUGGGUCUUGUAAUCGGAAUGAGUACAAUUUAAAUCCCUUAACGAGGAACAAUUGGAGGGCAAGUCUGGUGCCAGCAGCCGCGGUAAUUCCAGCUCCAAUAGCGUAUAUUAAAGUUGUUGUGGUUAAAAAGCUCGUAGUUGAACCUUGGGCCUGGCUGGCCGGUCCGCCUCACCGCGUGUACUGGUCCGGCCGGGCCUUUCCCUCUGCGGAACCCCAUGCCCUUCACUGGGCGUGGCGGGGAAACAGGACUUUUACUUUGAAAAAAUUAGAGUGCUCAAGGCAGGCCUAUGCUCGAAUACAUUAGCAUGGAAUAAUGAAAUAGGACGUCGCGGUUCUAUUUUGUUGGUUUCUAGGACCGCCGUAAUGAUUAAUAGGGACAGUCGGGGGCGUCAGUAUUCCGUUGUCAGAGGUGAAAUUCUUGGAUUUACGGAAGACUAACUACUGCGAAAGCAUUCGCCAAGGAUGUUUUCAUUAAUCAGGAACGAAAGUUAGGGGAUCGAAGACGAUCAGAUACCGUCGUAGUCUUAACCAUAAACUAUGCCGACUAGGGAUCGGACGAUGUUACAUUUUUUGACGCGUUCGGCACCUUACGAGAAAUCAAAGUGCUUGGGCUCCAGGGGGAGUAUGGUCGCAAGGCUGAAACUUAAAGGAAUUG
rnacentral:rRNA from 1 species